GUGCUCACUUUGGCAGCACAUAUACUAAAAUUGAAAUGAUAGAAGGAAGAUUAGCAUGGCAUCUGUGCAAAGAUCACAUGAAAAUUGGUGAAAAAUCUCCCCACCCAGAUUU
ensembl:snRNA U6 U6 spliceosomal RNA